UACGAAGGGGGCUAGCGUUGUUCGGAAUUACUGGGCGUAAAGCGCACGUAGGCGGAUUGUUAAGUCGAGGGUGAAAUCCUGAGGCUCAACCUCAGAACUGCCUUCGAUACUGGCAAUCUCGAGUCCGGAAGAGGUUGGUGGAACAGCUAGUGUAGAGGUGAAAUUCGUAGAUAUUCGCAAGAACACCAGUGGCGAAGGCGGCUCACUGGCCCGGUACUGACGCUGAGGCACGAAAGCGUGGGGAGCAAACAGG
rnacentral:rRNA from 1 species